UGAAUACGAGAUGCUACGGCGUCGAAGCAGUGUAUGUCAGACUUCCAAGAAAAGCUCGCAAUGUCAUAAAUAAAGAAUGCCUGUACCGUAACCGACACAGGUGGGUAGGUAGAGUAUACCAAGGGGCGCGAGAUAACUCUCUCUAAGGAACUCGGCAAAAUAACUCCGUAACUUCGGGAGAAGGAGUGCCUUCUUUAAGAAGGUUGCAAUAACAAGAUCCAAGCAACUGUUUAUCAAAAACACAGGUCUCCGCUAAGUCGUAAGACGAUGUAUGGGGGCUGACGCCUGCCCAGUGCCAGAAGGUUAAAGAAGUUGGUUAGCUUUUGCGAAGCUGAUGACUGAAGCCCUGGUGAACGGCGGCCGUAACGAUAACGGUCCUAAGGUAGCGAAAUUCCUUGUCGGGUAAGUUCCGACCCGCACGAAAGGCGUAAUGAUUUGGAUACUGUCUCGGAGAGGGACUCGGUGAAAUAGACUUGUCUGUGAAGAUGCGGACUACCUGCACCAGGACAGAAAGACCCUAUGAAGCUUUACUGUAACUUGAAAUUGAAAUUGGACUUUAUUUGCGCAGUAUAGGUGGAAGGCGUUGAAAGUAAUCUUGCGGGAUUAGUGGAGCCAUCAGUGAGAUACCACUCCUAUAAUGUUAGAUUUCUAACUUUGGAUCAUGAUCUGGUCAAAGAACAGUUUCAGGCGGGCAGUUUGACUGGGGCGGUCGCCUCCCAAAUGGUAACGGAGGCGUACAAAGGUUUCCUCUGAACGGGUAGAAAUCGUAUCUAGAGUGUAAAGGCAUAAGGAAGCUUGACUGUGAGACCUACAAGUCGAGCAGGGACAAAAGUCGGUCUUAGUGAUCUGACGGUGCUGAGUGGAAAGGCCGUCACUCAACGGAUAAAAGUUACUCUAAGGAUAACAGGCUGAUCUCCCCCAAGAGUUCACAUCGACGGGGAGGUUUGGCACCUCGAUGUCGGCUCAUCGCAUCCUGGGGCGGUAGUACGUCCCAAGGGUUGGGCUGUUCGCCCAUGAAAGCGGUACGCGAGCUGGGUUCAGAACGUCGUGAGACAGUUCGGUCCAUAUCCGGUGUAGGCGUUAGAAUAUUGAGAGGAGCCUUCUUUAGUACGAGAGGACCGAGAAGGACAUACCUCUGGUGUACCAGUUAUCGUGCCAACGGUAAACGCUGGGUAGCUAUGUAUGGAGAGAAUAACCGCUGAAAGCAUCUAAGUGGGAAGCCCACCUCAAGAUGAGUAUUC
rnacentral:rRNA from 1 species